rnacentral:rRNA from 1 species
AGUGAACGCUGGCGGUAGGCCUAACACAUGCAAGUCGAACGGCAGCACAGUAAGAGCUUGCUCUUACGGGUGGCGAGUGGCGGACGGGUGAGGAAUACAUCGGAAUCUACUUUUUCGUGGGGGAUAACGUAGGGAAACUUACGCUAAUACCGCAUACGACCUACGGGUGAAAGCAGGGGAUCUUCGGACCUUGCGCGAUUGAAUGAGCCGAUGUCGGAUUAGCUAGUUGGCGGGGUAAAGGCCCACCAAGGCGACGAUCCGUAGCUGGUCUGAGAGGAUGAUCAGCCACACUGGAACUGAGACACGGUCAAGACUCCUACGGGAGGCAGCAGUGGGGAAUAUUGGACAAUGGGCGCAAGCAUGAUCCAGCCAUACCGCGUGGGUGAAGAAGGCCUUCGGGUUGUAAAGACCUUUUGUUGGGAAAGAAAAGCAGCAGGUUAAUACCACGCUGUUCUGACGGUACCCAAAGAAUAAGCACCGGCUAACUUCGUG